UUGCACAGGUGUAGGUGUUGAGCUCAGAGGAUGUAGAAAAUUAUGCUGAAUGGUUGCAUUACUAAUGUAGGGAUUAGCAAGGCUGCCUUGUGAUUGUAGGGAUGUACUCUGAGCUUGUGUAGGUAGUGGCAUGCCUACUUUGUGGGACUUGUUUCACAACCUUAGCAAACUUGCUGAGAAGGGAUGUGUGGGAGAUUCAGAUUAGAAGAUCAGAUGCUUUUCUGGGUGACUAAGGAACAGACCAGAGGAAACUUCCUUUUGAGGAAGUGGUUUUGAUUCUGAAACAGCAAAAAUCCUGUGGGAUGCCAAGAUGUGACGGUCCUCUUUGGCUCUCAGAGCAGCUGUGCCUUGUGCCUGACACAGAGACCUUCAUCGUCUGCUUUCAAAGG